UUAGCUUGCUAACUUGAGACCGGCGCACGGGUGCGUAACGCGUAUGCAAUCUACCUUGUACAGGGGGAUAGCCCAGAGAAAUUUGGAUUAAUACCCCAUGGUGUUAUGUUGUGGCAUCACAUUAUAACUAAAGUUCCAACGGUACAAGAUGAGCAUGCGUCCCAUUAGCUAGUUGGUGUGGUAACGGCAUACCAAGGCAAUGAUGGGUAGGGGUCCUGAGAGGGAGAUCCCCCACACUGGUACUGAGACACGGACCAGACUCCUACGGGAGGCAGCAGUGAGGAAUAUUGGUCAAUGGGCGCAAGCCUGAACCAGCCAUGCCGCGUGCAGGAUGACGGUCCUAUGGAUUGUAAACUGCUUUUAUACGGGAAGAAACACUCCUACGUGUAGGAACUUGACGGUACCGUAAGAAUAAGGAUCGGCUAACUCCGUGCCAGCAGCCGCGGUAAUACGGAGGAUCCAAGCGUUAUCCGGAAUCAUUGGGUUUAAAGGGUCCGUAGGCGGUCUUAUAAGUCAGUGGUGAAAGCCCAUCGCUUAACGAUGGAACGGCCAU
rnacentral:rRNA from 1 species